rnacentral:tRNA from 1 species
GGCCGUUUGGUCUAGGGGCAUGAUUCUCGCUUUGGGUGCGAGAGGUCCCGGGUUCGAUUCCCGGAACGGCCC